GGUUUUUUGGCUCAGUGGGUGGAGCUUAAGGCUUGUGACCCUAAGGUCCCACGUUCGAAUCACGCCAGAGGCA
rnacentral:tRNA from 1 species